CUACGGGAGGCAGCAGUGGGGAAUAUUGGACAAUGGGCGAAAGCCUGAUCCAGCCAUGCCGCGUGUGUGAAGAAGGCCUUCGGGUUGUAAAGCACUUUCAGUGGGGAAGAAAGCCUUGGGGCUAAUACCCUCGAGGAAGGACAUCACCCACAGAAGAAGCACCGGCUAACUCCGUGCCAGCAGCCGCGGUAAUACGGAGGGUGCGAGCGUUAAUCGGAAUUACUGGGCGUAAAGCGCGCGUAGGCGGUCUGAUAAGCCGGUUGUGAAAGCCCCGGGCUCAACCUGGGAACGGCAUCCGGAACUGUCAGGCUAGAGUGCAGGAGAGGAAGGUAGAAUUCCCGGUGUAGCGGUGAAAUGCGUAGAGAUCGGGAGGAAUACCAGUGGCGAAGGCGGCCUUCUGGACUGACACUGACGCUGAGGUGUGAAAGCGUGGGUAGCAAACAGGAUUAGAUACCCUUGUAGUC
rnacentral:rRNA from 1 species